rnacentral:rRNA from 1 species
UACGAAGGGGGCUAGCGUUGUUCGGAAUUACCGGGCGUAAAGCGCGCGCAGGCGGUCCUUUAAGUCAGGGGUGAAAGCCCAGAGCUCAACUCUGGAACUGCCUUUGAAACUAGAGGACUUGGGUACGGGAGAGGUGAGUGGAAUUCCGAGUGUAGAGGUGAAAUUCGUAGAUAUUCGGAAGAACACCAGUGGCGAAGGCGGCUCACUGGCCCGUUACCGACGCUCAGGCGCGACAGCGUGGGGAGCAAACAGG